ACUCAACGUUAAUUCUUUAAAAAGGGUGAGUUUAAGUUGUAAAACCGAGCUGUCUCUGAACAGAGGGUUGAUCAGCUUGUUAGCCCUAAACUUGUUUUUAAGGAGUUU
rnacentral:sRNA from 1 species